ensembl:lncRNA
CUAAUGUCAGCGCAGAGCUCGAGAUCAUUGUACAGCGCUGAUGAAAAAUGGAAGAGUUACCACUGUUGGUCACAUUGGCUAACAAGGAAAAUGCAACCUUCAGCAGAUAUCGAGGGAAAUAGCCUUCCAUUCGAAAUCAAAUGCACUGUGCAGGGGGGUUUAUUUGGCCUAGAGGAAUUAUUUCAUAUUUUCAGAUCCGCUCGAGUUUGAUGGAGUCGGUAACAUGGAGCAAUAUUAGGCUGACAAGGAUAAAUCUUGCAGCCUGGCGAAUAUGCAGUCUGCGUCUCAAUACACAUCCCAAUCAACAUUUGGGCACAGAGGGCCUGAAGAGACAAGUCUUCAGGGAGACAUCUCACUCGCCCAGAAACAGCCCAAGACUCCAGACCUCUCCUUCUGUUAAGCAUGGACUACCCGGAUGUCCACUUCCACUGGGGGCUGCAGUGAGACAAAGCUACUGGGAUCUCCUAUAGGACCUACGGUCUUCUGACAGACACCUGCUACAGUACCAGGGAGAACCAUGGCACCACGGUCCUCUACCUCUAUUCAUCUAGAUUCUACACUACAGUGUGGUUCAUGCUCAUACUGCAGUGGAACAUGAUGCCCAGUAAUACUGAAUGACUAAUCUAAUCAUAUUGAAAAUAGUUUGUUUCAGUUCAAGUUUCAUUCUACUGUACCAGUGUUCAUUAUAUGCAGUUGCUAAAAUGUAUAUGGUUUGUCUUGACAAGAUGCAAGCAUUGAUUAUUACAUUGUUAUUCACAAAGAUGAUUCUUGUCUCAAUAAAUAAAAUGUCCAUAAAACAUGUUGGGAUUAAAAAGGUUUAAAC